GUACUGGCUUCGGCAGCACAUACACUAAACUGGGCUGAGACAGAGAUUAGCGUGGCCUCUGCACAGGGAUGAAGGGCAAGUUCGUGAAGUGUUCCAUACUUUU